AUUGAACGCUGGCGGCAGGCUUAACACAUGCAAGUCGAGCGGAGGCGAGGGUGCUUGCACCUUAGCUUAGCGGCGGACGGGUGAGUAAUGCUUAGGGAUCUGCCUAUUAGUGGGGGACAACAUUCCGAAAGGGAUGCUAAUACCGCAUACGCCCUACGGGGGAAAGCAGGGGAUCUUCGGACCUUGCGCUAAUAGAUGAGCCUAAGUCGGAUUAGCUAGUUGGUGGGGUAAAGGCCUACCAAGGCGACGAUCUGUAGCGGGUCUGAGAGGAUGAUCCGCCACACUGGGACUGAGACACGGCCCAGACUCCUACGGGAGGCAGCAGUGGGGAAUAUUGGACAAUGGGGGGAACCCUGAUCCAGCCAUGCCGCGUGUGUGAAGAAGGCCUUUUGGUUGUAAA
rnacentral:rRNA from 1 species